AGUCAUGUGACUUGUGCGUCGUUGAUCAAAAUGGCGGCGUGUGAACACCUUUUAGUCGAUUUUGGUUGUCAUGCAAAUAAACUGACUGAAUUACCAGAUCCUGAAUCAGAAGUGUGAAAGAGAACAAUAAAAACAACAGAGACCUGGUAAUGCAGUGUCAAUGAUAUGGGUAUUGGCGCUGCCUGUAGUCAAGUUGCGCAGCAUCAUUAUGAGAAAAGAAACAGUGUUUAUGUAUAUUCUCAAUAUUCAAUUACAAGAUUGGUUGUUUUUGAAUUAGGGAACUGUGUAUAUUGUGUAAAAUUAAUACAUUAUUUUUUAAGCUAA